AUGAACACAGGUCAGAGAUUUGAUUUCACUCGUUCAUCGACGGAGGAACCAUGCAGAGGUUAUAAGCAAUCUAAAAGAGAGUUGAAAACCAAACAAAUGGAUUCUGGGAAUACCGAAAUGAAUCUGUUAAUGGAGGCGAACUUUGAGCUUUCCAAAGAGGGGAAGGGAAGACCAUCGAAGCUCUACCGAACGAAAUUGUGUGUCUCUUGGCCACCUGUGACACAAAGAAGUUCAGAAGGACUCCAAGACAAUGAGCAGGGCUGGAAUCAAAACACCCUUUUGCUUGUGUCGUCCAUAGCUAAUGCCUCAGUGUUCCACGGAAAUCCAUCUCUGCACAAUUUCUGGAGGCAUGUCCAAUGGGAAGAAACAGCAGAGGGCUGCCCCCCGGGUAGGUUAGGUAAAAUGAUGUGAAAACUCAGGGAGAAGACAGCCAUCUACAAGCCAAGAACACCUGAGGCCACCAGGAGCCAGUAGCAAUGUGGAGUACAGAUCUCCCUCUCAGCUGUCCAAAGGAACCAACGCAGCUGACACCUUGAGCUCUGACUUUUAGCCUCCAGAACUGGGAGACAAUACAUUUCUGUCAUUUAAGUGAAUCAGUUUAUGCUACUUUGUUAAGGCAGCCCUGGGAAGUGAUAAUAUCUCCCUGAUGCAUAAAGUCAUUGUGAGCCUUACAGAGUGGAUGCAUGUCAAUAAAUGUGCACCUUAGUGACUGUUGCACAGGAUUAUUUUAUUACGGUGUGGGUUUCAGCCUGGGGGGUACCAGUGUGGGGCAGUCUGUAUAGAUCCUACGUGCUACACCGUUUGUAUGUGUGUGUAUACAUCCUACAUCCUUUUCAUAGGAAAGCAGAUGAUCCAUACUUUAUAAAGACAUACUUCCCAAAGAGGAUAUCCAAAAUGGCCAAUAUGUCUCACCAUCAUGAGACAUCAAAAUGCAAGUUAAAACCCCAGUGAGAUGCCAUUAUUCAUCAGAAUGGCUAAAAUUAGAAGGACCCUUAGCACUAAGUCUAGGUGAGGAACUGAACCAAUCAUUUUGGAGAGCGCCGUCCAGUGCCUUCCAAAGCUGACAUAUGCCUAUUCUACACAAGGUGUAUACUCAAG
rnacentral:lncRNA from 1 species